rnacentral:rRNA from 1 species
GAUGAACGCUGGCGGCGUGCCUAAUACAUGCAAGUCGAGCGAACAGACGAGGAGCUUGCACCUCUGACGUUAGCGGCGGACGGGUGAGUAACACGUGGAUAACCUACCUAUAAGACUGGGAUAACUUCGGGAAACCGGAGCUAAUACUGGAUAAUAUAUUGAACCGCAUGGUUCAAUAGUGAAAGACGGUUUUGCUGUCACUUAUAGAUGGAUCCGCGCCGCAUUAGCUAGUUGGUAAGGUAACGGCUUACCAAGGCAACGAUGCGUAGCCGACCUGAGAGGGUGAUCGACCACACUGGAACUGAGACACGGUCCAGACUCCUACGGGAGGCAGCAGUAGGGAAUCUUCCGCAAAGGGCGAAAGCCUGACGGAGCAACGCCGCGUGAGUGAUGAAGGUCUUCGGAUCGUAAAACUCUGUUAUUAGGGAAGAACAAAUGUGUAAGUAACUAUGCACGUCUUGACGGUACCUAGUCAGAAAGCCACGGCUAACUACGUG